rnacentral:rRNA from 1 species
GACGAACGCUGGCGGCGUGCUUAACACAUGCAAGUCGAACGAAGUGGCGGACGGGUGAGUAACGCGUAAUCAACCUGCCCUUCAGAGGGGGACAACAGUUGGAAACGACUGCUAAUACCGCAUACUGAAGAUGGGGAUUGCGUCGGAUUAGCUAGUUGGGGGGGUAAUGGCCCACCAAGGCGAUGAUCAGGAGCCGGUCUGGGAGGGUGAACGGCCACAUUGGGACUGGGACACGGCCCAGACUCCUACAGGGGGCAGCAGUGGGGAAUCUUCCGCAAUGGACGAAAGUCUGACGGAGCAACGCCGCGUGAGUGAUGACGGCCUUCGGGUUUGAAAGCUCUGUUAAUCGGGGCGCGGUACCGGAAUAGAAAGCCACGGCUAACUACGUGCCAGCAGCCGCGGUAAUUC